CGGUGACAGAAAAAAGAGUGAAGCAACAAAAAUGUUGUAACAAAAAACAUGAUAAUCAUUAACUACAUUUAUUUAUUGAAGUAUUUUAUCAUUGUCAUGCAUAGACAUUGUCGUUUGUGAUAUCUUGAAUAGGUAACGAAACUUUUGACCUUGUCAUAAAAUUAUACGCUUAGGUGUAAUUAUUUUGGGGGAAAUGCUAAUCCAUGCCUCGGAGCACUUGUUAAGUAUAUUAAAAUGGAAAUUAUAUAAUAGUUAAUACAUUGAAAUUGUGUAAUUAAUUUAUAAAAGAUAAAAAAUAGUUUUCUUUUAUGCUAAUAAUUUUCUCUUUUGAUAUGCUUAACUAGUGUCUUGGAAUACCGGUUAGCAUGACCCUUAUUUUAAAAUUUUAUUAUUUCUUGAACUGACAAAAAUCUUCAAUGCACUUUCCAAGAUAAGGACAAUCUUCACUAGUCUUGCAGCCGAUUUUAUCUGUAUUGUCAAAUGAGAAGAAAAGAAUGUUACUCAAAGGUGAUAUAUUAUUGUUCAUAAUAUAAAUUAGAAAAUUUGAAAAUGUUGUUAAAAAUAACAUACGUAUAUUUGUUUCAACAUGAAAUAGAGAAAGAAAGAUGAUCAAAACAUAAGCAAACAUGAAAAUUUGAGACAUG
rnacentral:lncRNA from 1 species